GACAUACUCGUGCUAUUCCUAGAGAUAGGAAGUUCCUUCGGGACACGGGAUACAGGUGGUGCAUGGUUGUCGUCAGCUCGUGUCGUGAGAUGUUGGGUUAAGUCCGCAACGAGCGCAACCCCUAUUGUUAGUUGCCAUCAUUAAGUUGGGCACUCUAACGAGACUGCCGGUGAUAAACCGGAGGAAGGUGGGGAUGACGUCAAAUCAUCAUGCCCCUUAUGACCUGGGCUACACACGUGCUACAAUGGAUGGUACAACGAGUCGCGAGACAGUGAUGUUUAGCUAAUCUCUUAAAACCAUUCUCAGUUCGGAUUGUAGGCUGCAACUCGCCUACAUGAAGUCGGAAUCGCUAGUAAUCGCGGAUCAGCACGCCGCGGUGAAUACGUUCCCGGGCCUUGUACACACCGCCCGUCACACCACGGGAGUUGGGAGUACCCGAAGUAGGUUGCCUAACCGCAAGGAGGGCGCUUCCUAAGGUAAGACCGAUGACUGGGGUGAAGUCGUAACAAGGUAGGCGUAGCGAG
rnacentral:rRNA from 1 species